GCCAAGCAUCAAGCUCCCAGGACUGUAGUUUUCCCCUGCUCAGGAACUGAGUGUGAAGUGAGCGUGGUCUUGGAGAAGUAACAAAAAUAAUCACCUCCUCUUUUAGCAUUUAUCUAAAAGAGUUUAAGUUCUUUUUCCUUCUGUUACAAGUGAUUCUGUACAAACAGCAGUGCAAACUCCCGUGUUUACCUGCAUGCAAUGCGGAGAUACAGGGACUAGGGUGGAAGUGCAUGUGUUGGCCUCUGAGUGAUGGAAUCUGUCUUGAGCUGGGAAGCUCAUAUCCUGUGCCAAGGUGGCAGCUGCGGUGGCCUGUUGUCAAGUACAAAGUCAAACUCUAGCUUGGCUGUAAUCUGUAUUUCCCAAGAAGACUGGAAAUCUGGAAUUUUAUGUGACAUGUCUGAUUUUAAAACGUCAGCAUGAUUUCGCAGAAUAGUCUGUGUGACAUCCCAAAUGAACACUGCUGACUAAUGACAUCUCAGGUUCGGUGGCUUAGGACUUAGCUCUCACUUUCUUGCUGUUUCAAGGAUGAAUAUGCCGCUAACAGAUUUCCUAGGGGAAUUCAUUGCAG
rnacentral:lncRNA from 1 species